rnacentral:rRNA from 1 species
GAUGAACGCUGGCGGCGUGCCUAAUACAUGCAAGUCGAGCGAACGGACGAGAAGCUUGCUUUUCUGAUGUUAGCGGCGGACGGGUGAGUAACACGUGGAUAACCUACCUAUAAGACUGGGAUAACUUCGGGAAACCGGAGCUAAUACCGGAUAAUAUUUUGAACCGCAUGGUUCAAAAGUGAAAGACGGUCUUGCUGUCACUUAUAGAUGGAUCCGCGCUGCAUUAGCUAGUUGGUAAGGUAACGGCUUACCAAGGCAACGAUGCAUAGCCGACCUGAGAGGGUGAUCGGCCACACUGGAACUGAGACACGGUCCAGGCUCCUACGGGAGGCAGCAGUAGGGAAUCUUCCGCAAUGGGCGAAAGCCUGACGGAGCAACGCCGCGUGAGUGAUGAAGGUCUUCGGAUCGUAAAACUCUGUUAUUAGGGAAGAACAUAUGUGUAAGUAACUGUGCACAUCUUGACGGUACCAAAUCAGAAAGCCACGGCUAACUACGUG